rnacentral:rRNA from 1 species
AGUGAACGCUGGCGGUAGGCCUAACACAUGCAAGUCGAACGGCAGCACAGUAAGAGCUUGCUCUUACGGGUGGCGAGUGGCGGACGGGUGAGGAAUACAUCGGAAUCUACUUUUUCGUGGGGGAUAACGUAGGGAAACUUACGCUAAUACCGCAUACGACCUACGGGUGAAAGCAGGGGAUCUUCGGACCUUGCGCGAUUGAAUGAGCCGAUGUCGGAUUAGCUAGUUGGCGGGGUAAAGGCCCACCAAGGCGACGAUCCGUAGCUGGUCUGAGAGGAUGAUCAGCCACACUGGAACUGAGACACGGUCCAGACUCCUACGGGAGGCAGCAGUGGGGAAUAUUGGACAAUGGGCGCAAGCCUGAUCCAGCCAUACCGCGUGGGUGAAGAAGGCCUUCGGGUUGUAAAGCCCUUUUGUUAGGAAAGAAAAGCAGCAGGUUAAUACCCCGCUGUUCUGACGUUACCCAAAGAAUAAGCACCGGCUAACUUCGUG